rnacentral:rRNA from 2 species
GGGGAAUAUUGCACAAUGGGCGCAAGCCUGAUGCAGCGACGCCGCGUGAGCGAAGAAGGUUUUCGGAUCGUAAAGCUCUGUCCUCUGGGAAGAAAAAAUGACGGUACCAGAGGAGGAAGCCCCGGCUAACUACGUGCCAGCAGCCGCGGUAAUACGUAGGGGGCUAGCGUUGUCCGGAUUUACUGGGCGUAAAGGGUGAGUAGGCGGUAAUGUGUGUCAGAUGUUUAAUCUAUGAGCUCAACUCAUUAUCAGCAUUUGAAACUACAUAACUUGAGUGCAGGAGAGGUAAGUGGAAUUCCUAGUGUAGCGGUGGAAUGCGUAGAUAUUAGGAGGAACACCGGUGGCGAAGGCGACUUACUGGACUGUAACUGACGCUGAGACACGAAAGCGUGGGGAGCGAACA